rnacentral:rRNA from 1 species
GACGAACGCUGGCGGCGUGCCUAAUACAUGCAAGUCGAACGCAGUGGGGACGGGUGAGUAACACGUGGGUAACCUCCCAUCAGAGGGGAUAACACCUGGAAACAGGUGCUAAACCGAGACCGAUGGAUGGACCCGCGGUGCAUUAGCUAGUUGGUGAGGUAACGGCUCACCAAGGCCAUGAUGCAUAGGCGGCCUGAGAGGGUGUUCGGCCACACGGGGACUGAGACACGGCCCAGCCUCCUACGUGAGGCAGCAGUAGGGAAUCUUCGACAAUGGACGAAAGUCUGACCGAGCAACGCCGCGUGAGUGAAGAAGGUUUUCGGAUCGUGAAACGCUGUUGUUAGAGAAGCGGUAUCUAACCAAAAUGCCACGGCUUACUACGUGCCAGCAGCCGCGGUAAUAC